rnacentral:rRNA from 1 species
UGGGGAAUCUUGGACGAUGGGGGCAACCCUGAUCCAGCCAUGCCGCGUGGGUGAAGAAGGCCUUAGGGUUGUAAAGCCCUUUCAGUCGUGACGAUGAUGACGGUAGCGACAGAAGAAGCCCCGGCUAACUCCGUGCCAGCAGCCGCGGUAAUACGGAGGGGGCAAGCGUUGUUCGGAUUUACUGGGCGUAAAGGGCGCGUAGGCGGGCGAUCAAGUCAGGGGUGAAAGCCCGGGGCUCAACCUCGGAACUGCCUUUAAAACUGAUGCUCUAGAGUCCGGAAGAGGGUCGCGAAAGCGUGGGGAGCAAACAGGAUUAGAUACCCGUGUAGUCC